AUGCAUAGGAAUCUACCUAGUAGUAUGGGAUAGCCACUGGAAAUGGUGGGUAAUACCGUAUAAUCCCUGCGGGGGAAAGAUUUAUCGCUAUUAGAUGAGCCUAUGUCGGAUUAGCUAGUUGGUGGGGUAAUGGCCUACCAAGGCAGUGAUCUGUAUCUGGUCUGAGAGGAUGAUCAGCCACACUGGAACUGAGACACGGUCCAGACUCCUACGGGAGGCAGCAGUGGGGAAUAUUGGACAAUGGGCGCAAGCCUGAUCCAGCUAUGCCGCGUGAGUGAGGAAGGCCUUAGGGUUGUAAAACUCUUUCAGUAGGGAAGAUAAUGACGGUACCUA
rnacentral:rRNA from 1 species